rnacentral:sRNA from 2 species
AUAUCUCUCCGUACGGGAAGGAUGAGAAGCUUCGACUAAGGUUCGAUUCGAGCGCAGCGAGAAAGCGUUGCCG